rnacentral:rRNA from 1 species
AACGAACGCUGGCGGCAUGCCUAACACAUGCAAGUCGUACGAGACCUUCGGGUCUAGUGGCGCACGGGUGCGUAACGCGUGGGAACCUGCCCUUAGGUUCGGAAUAACUCCCCGAAAGGGGUGCUAAUACCGGAUAAUGUCUUCGGACCAAAGAUUUAUCGCCUUUGGAUGGGCCCGCGUUGGAUUAGCUAGUUGGUAGGGUAAAAGCCUACCAAGGCGACGAUCCAUAGCUGGUCUGAGAGGAUGAUCAGCCACACUGGGACUGAGACACGGCCCAGACUCCUACGGGAGGCAGCAGUGGGGAAUAUUGGACAAUGGGCGAAAGCCUGAUCCAGCAAUGCCGGGUGAGUGAUGAAGGCCUUAGGGUUGUAAAGCUCUUUUACCCGGGAUGAUAAUGACAGUACCGGGAGAAUAAGCGCCGGCUAACUCCGUG